rnacentral:rRNA from 1 species
GAUGAACGCUGGCGGCGUGCCUAAUACAUGCAAGUCGAGCGAACGGACGAGAAGCUUGCUUCUCUGAUGUUAGCGGCGGACGGGUGAGUAACACGUGGAUAACCUACCUAUAAGACUGGGAUAACUUCGGGAAACCGUAGCUAAUACCGGAUAAUAUUUUGAACCGCAUGGUUCAAAAGUGAAAGACGGUCUUGCUGUCAAUGAUAGAUGGAUCCGCGCUGCAUUAGCUAGUUGGUAAGGUAACGGCUUACCAAGGCAACGAUGCAUAGCCGACCUGAGAGGGUGUCCGGCCACACUGGAACUGAGACACGGUCCAGACUCCUACGGGAGGCAGCAGUAGGGAAUCUCCCGCAAUGGGCGAAAGCCUGACGGAGCAACGCCGCGUGAGUGAUGAAGGUCUUCGGAUCGUAAAACUCUGUUAUUAGGGAAGAACAUAUGUGUAAGUAACUGUGCACAUCUUGACGGUACCUAAUCAGAAAGCCACGGCUAACUACGUG